UCAAUAUUUUCAGUCACACGCCACACUCAGUAGAGGGCAGCAUGUUUUCUUUUUGUCAUUGUGAUAAAGAUGCACUAAAGGUUUUUCAACACUUGGAAGACUUACUGCAAGACCUGUUUGUAACCCCCCACAGGCCACGAGAAACAUGACUGAGUGAGCACUCUUGGCAGCAAACUAUCUUUGACGUAUAUCUCUCCGGUAACCAUGUCAACAAGAAUUUAGGCAGUUGGGAGAAAGUAAACGGCACGUGCACACUGGUACCUUGGAAAAAGUCAUUUUUCUCCUGCUGGAGAAAAGCAAACCAAGUCCUGCCACCACCUGAUUUUCCAGUGGGGAGUUCAGAGUAAUUUCCUCACAUGUAACCACAAACAUUUAAUUUCCAUCUUCUAACCAGACUGCUUUCCAAUUUGUUCCCUGCAUGGCUUGUGGCAAACUUUAAACAUUACUUCUGAUAAGUUUGUUUUUUCCACUCUUCUACAAAGAUCCAGAUUUGUGGAUUGGACAUAAAAAGAAGAGGCUGACUGGUGGACGGGUUCUUCCAGCUGAGCUCUGUCGCUCCUCAUAAGUUUCUGAGUCCAACUUGAAAUUUUCCAUAAACGUAGGUGGACUUUAUUUCUCAACUGGGUGACUUCACUUCUAAAGCAAAGGUGGGCAUUUAUCGUAUCGCUUAUCAUUUAUCGUGAACAUUUCUUAUCAUAGUAAGAAUUUUGUUUUAUUGUUUUGAUACGUUUCAAUUAAUAAUGUUUUUUUUUAACUGACGUUAUUAGAAAUUUUAUUUUUACUAUUUGCUGUUUGUUCCACAAUAGGGUCAAUAAAUGUCAGCAAAACUGAAAAUUAAAUAUAGUUCACUGAAAAAAAGAGAGAAUGGAGGUCCAAAUUUUAAAAAAGUGUUACUUUUUUACAUUUAGUUGAAUUAAGUUUGUCAACAUGACAACUUAAUAUACAGGUCUGGAGAAAACAGAGUCCACUGCACUGAACCCCAUUGAAAACCUCCUGGUUGUUCCACCAAAUAGAUUUCUGAACUCUUCCUG